ensembl:lncRNA
UGAAUGAAUGAAAAUUGGAUAAAAAUUAGGUAUCCAAAGGUGUGAGUGUGUGUGUGUGUGUGUGUGUGUGGGUGUUAGCGUGUGUGUGUGCGCCUACAUCUGCGUGCAAUCAGGCGGUAGAGCGGGUUGACUUGUAACCGAAAGGCUGCUCCUUCAAUAUGUGUGUCCCUCCGAGUGUCAUGGUGUCUCUGAGCAAGACACCCAACGCUAACUGCUCCCGACGAGCUGGCUGUCGCCCUGCGUGGUCGCCACCGCCGUCUGUGUCUGAAUGUGAAAUCGCUUUGGGCGAAAGCGUCUGCAAAAUGUAAACGUAUAUUUAGUAUAUGGUGCUUCCCUUCCCCAGAGCGGCAGCAGAUCCUCCGGGGCGUCAGAACAUCGCAGUGAAGGCGGCCCACCGCCGCACCAAGGCCCUGGAGGGGGACGCGCUGCACCUGCCCCCCCCCCCCUCGCCCCUGGACCCCCAGAAGCAGAAGAGCACCCUGUCCCUGCUGAGCGAGGCCGCGGCGCCGCCCGCCGGGGCCCGCCCGCGCGCCGGGCCGCCGGCCCAGCCCCGAGCUGCGGCACGCCACCUCGGACGACACCCUGUCCAGCAGCACGGGCGAGGGGCCCCCCGCCCCCCAGGGCACCUGGACCCGCCAGCGCUUCCGCGCGCCCGCCGCCAAGAACCCCACGCCGCGCGAGCCCGACUUUGAGGCCCGCCGCAGGAAGCGCCGCUCCCGCUCCUUCGAGGUCACGGGUCAGGCACUGCCUCAGCCCAAGACCCACGCCGCCCAGAGGUUCCGCCCCCUGGACAGCACGUCGGACCCCCACCUCCACAUCAACGGACAGCCCCAGCCCCCAUGCUCCGCCCCCAGCUCCGGGGAGUUCCUCCGCUCACCAAAGUCAGGGGGUCCCAAAGCACCCAGCAAACCGGCACCAUCGCAGAGUCCUCCACAGUCCCCCUGACCAACCUGAAGAGGGUGUCCCAGCUGAGGCAGCCGCUCCUCUACAUCACAUCCGGGGCCCAGCGAACACGCAGGCACUGAGCGGCGUGACCCCCGUCCUCCCGUCCCCCCCAUCGCCCAUCACACACGUCAAAAAAUAGAACCGCUCUUAACCACAACCCCCUCGGUAUAAGCAGAACGUGCUAACCGCGCGGGGGAGCCUGCAAGAUGUCUCUUACUAUUAGGAUGCAGAGUAAUCCAACCUCCAGGGAUCCUUUCUAAGGACAGUCGGCCGCUCUGGGCUCAGACAUUAGGCCAGAUAGUACGGCAGUGUUAUGGGCACUAGCUAAACGCUAGCCGUUUGGUCCCGUGCAGGUCCCUAAUUGGCUUAUUUUGGGACUCUGAGUGAUUCCCGGUAGGGCUCAUUGCAGUCCGCUCGCGCCAUCGAGACUAAAGAGGCGUUUUAAUCAGUGGUGUGUGAAAGCUAAUUGUUUUCACAGCAGCAAAAUAUUGUGAAAUGUUUGGGAUACAGAAUUGCUAAUUGGUACAAAAGCCACAUACUUGGUAGAUGAACGUUGUUGACUAUUAGUGACUCAGCUGUAAGUUACUCAGCUAAAUACUAAAGAUAUGGGAUACCUUACAUGCGGGCGAACUGAUCUUUAAGGACAAAAGGGCCGAUAAACAUCACUCUAGAGAUCCACAUCUCGAUAACCAACAGCCAUCCGUAGAACAGCCCCUUCAGUCAUGUUUGGUCUUGAAAUGAACACGACUCAUUCGGCGGUCAUAUCGCUGUACUCAAACAGUUUAAUUCAUUCCCGUAGCCCUUUGCCUUUGUUCCCCACAAACAUGGCUGCUAUGUGUCAUGCUUUUUGGUAAUAACUAUUGCUUACUGUAAGCAAUGGACAUAUAUAAAAACGACUUUGUUAAAUGUGUUGUUUUUUUAAUAUUAAAUGGUUUAUUUAACGGCUGCCUUUUCUUUUGUCACCACAUUGUUGUUUUUAUUUGUUUUCGUAAGUACUACUUUCUAUGCUUUAUUUUGUACAUUCUUUUUUGUAUUCAAAUAAAUUCAAAUGAUACCCACAAGAAAUGUGUUCGACCUUUUUUUUAAACGAAAUGGCUUAUAAAUACAUUGAUUACAUAAUAGUUUCAGUGGCCAAUAUUACUUCUCUGGCAAUGAUGGCCCCUCUAUCGUGUGUGCAACUUCUUGUUACAAAACCAUAGCAGUUAAGUAAUAGACUUUUAAAAUUCAAUCCGCAUAUCUAUCCGCGCUGUGUGUGCAGUGCAGAGGGGAGGGAAACCGGAAGUACCCGCCUCCCCGUUCCAUUUUACGAUUUUGGUCCAAUGAAACGAAGGUUUGUAAGUAAUGGAUUUUAAUCUUGGCCAAUGAACGGGAGGAUUUCACAUUUCUCACGGCAGUGCAUAACAGCUGAUUUGCAACCCGUCGUAGCAACAGAAAGAAGGGAGGAAAAAUGUCGGUGGCUUCGAUUCGGACCGUUCUAGGAUCAGUACAUUUUUAAGGAGACCCAGACGAGCGGUGAGUGAAAGAGCCGUCACCGCUUUCAGGAGAGCUAGAGCUGCGAUUGCAAUAAUCCGUCCGGAACCGAAACUAUACUCUCUAGAAAUGAUAUUAACACGUUUCUACUUCUUAACGGAUGAGGCCUACAGCCAACAACCACACAACGCUCUGCCUGCCGCCAUGUGAUACAAUGAAUGUGUCCAGUAAUUCUAUGUGCAAUGCAAGGUAGAUCAGGCUUGGAACUUUAAGCACUUUAAAACCCGGAGAUCUAUUUUGAGUUUCAUAGACCGCGUUUGCAGCAAAGAUUAUGCGUCCACGGAAGGGUUCUUCAGUUAAGAGGAAUAUCUAUUAAACACUAUUAAAGGAGACGAGGAUCUGAUCCCAGUCUGCUCUGGUUCAAUAAACUUAAAGUACAGUUGCACUCCUUGGAGACCUGCACCAUGCGCACAGUAUAACGCAGUGCAUUACAGUGCUGUCUCACACACGGGGCUAACGACACCCCACUUUAGGGCCAUUUACUGCAAUUCUUUUUUUAUCUUUUACUUUCAAUGAUUAAAUAAACUAUUUAAGUGGCAGGUGUUUACCUCGACCGUUGCUCACUUAACCCUCCUUUCUGACUGUUUCAGGUCGCUCCUCAACAUUUCCAUCUACAUCCAUCGAGAGAAACCUGUACUGUAACCUUAUACAAACCUAUGUGGGCACCUCAUCCAACCGAUUAAGGCCACCGUA